rnacentral:lncRNA from 1 species
GAUAGAUCCCUUUGGAUCUUGUCUUUUUUCUUCCUCUCCUUUCUCUCCCUUUUGUCUACCCCUCUCCCUCUCUCCACUUCCCUCUCUCUCACUCCCUCUUCCUCCACCUUCUUUCUUUCUCCUGCUCCCUCCCUCCCUCUCUUUCCUCUCCAUUUUGAAAUAAGAAGGAUUCAUGGCAACCUGCACAGGAUAGAAUGAAACAGAUCUGAGUCAAGAGGAGAAUCUCUGAGGAUAAUUUCUUCAAACAGCAAUGUGCAUGAUAACUCAGGAAGCCACAUGUUGAAUACUGUGGCACCACAAGAUGAAACAAGCCUGGAUCCUGGAACCACUGCUUGGAGGGGGUUGCCUGCCAUCGUGAAUACACAUUGGACUUUAUAUAAAUACGAAGUCUACUUCUCUUGUUUUAAAUUACUGAGAAUUUGUGGUUCAUGUAUUAUGGUAGCUAGUAUUACCUUAAGUAAUAGAAGAAUGUUCCCACUGUGUUAAAUAGAAAAAAUAUUUUCUUCCACAGACUAAAAUUGAAGCAUGGUUAAACAUGCAGAAUCUAGGUGGAAGUCUGGGAUCUCAGAAGAUACAAAAGAAGCUUUCCCUUGCACUGCAAGAUCACAUAUGGCAAAGGCUUCAAUAAAUAUCUCUAAUGGGCCUACUCUCUUCCUUAUAACUCAUCUGACAUUUUUGUGAUACAAGGGAGAACAGUUGAAUUGUUUGAAAAACUUGCCUCAGAAAGGGUGAGACAGAAAGCUCACUGGUGAAUUGAAAAGGUUUUCAUUGUACCGUUAUGGGACUGUUUUUAAAAGACUCUAUGUUCCUUGUAAAAUUCAUUCUUGAAUCAGAUUUGAUUUUUAGCAAACAAUUUCUUACCUAAUCUCAACCUCCAGACUUUAAUAUUCUAACAAUUACAUAAGUCCAUUGCAUUAAAAAGUUCUCAAUAGUUAUUUUUUUAGUUUUGAUAAGUUUUAACAAGACAAAAAGCUGACAAGUCUUAAAUUUGGUAAAAGGAGAUUUUGAAAAGGAGACUCCAAAAAUAAUGCAUUUAAAAUCUAAUUUAUAUGGUGCCUCAGAAGAGUUUCAAACAAAUGAAUAGUCUUCUAAGAAGUUAUAAAUUCAUGUCCGGGAUAGAAAUAUCUGUGAAUCACUAAAUUAUUUCUCUCAUAUUUGCUGGUGUAAAACUAGGGAAUAGCCAAGCAGCUUACAUUAUCAACUGCUUAUGAGGAUGCUAAAAUGAUAUACUUAACUGAUAUUUCCAUCUAGAGGCACUGUAUAAUUUUGUCACCAAAAAUAACUAUAGACUCAAGAAUAUAAGGAGGAAUAUUUUAUAUAGUGGCAUACAAAGUUAUGACAUUUAUCUGUCAUUUUCCCAUAUUAUUUAUCCUCAAAAGAGUUUGUUUCUUUACAUCAUGUGGAAGGAUAAUUGGUCCCAUAAAGAAGUAAUUAUUUAUAUCAACGAGGUAAUAAUAAAAGAGAAUGGCUCAUAAUCUACUGGACGUUGCAUGGCCUGUGAUGUCUCUUUCCUUCUAGUCACUUUCGAAAGCUCAAAUACCAACACCUUUGUAACUUCCUCCUUUUCCCCCAUAUACAUAGUCAAUUCUUCUUUUGUACUCCCUCAAAUGUUAAUUUGUACAUUGAUUUUCACAUUUACAUUACUGUAUUAUAAUUACCUACUUACGUUUAUGACCUGUCUGAUCAAUUUUAAAUUAGCAUUUUCUUCUCCCUUGUGUCUCGGUACAUUGUAUGCUGACAUAGAGCAGAUUCUCAAUGGAUGUUUGUUAAAGGAUGCAUUUUAUUUCCUCAGUAAAACCAUUUUAUGUCAUUAGACAAAUUCAAGUAUACAGUUAGAUUCCAGAAACUAUAGUCUACCAUAUAAUUAAAGGUAUUUCUGCUAUUUUAUGUCAUUGAACAAAUUCAAGUGUACAAUUAGAUUUCAAAA